GAUGAACGCUGGCGGCGUGCCUAAUACAUGCAAGUCGAGCGAACGGACGAGAAGCUUGCUUUUCUGAUGUUAGCGGCGGACGGGUGAGUAACACGUGGAUAACCUACCUAUAAGACUGGGAUAACUUCGGGUAACCGGAGCUAAUACCGGAUAAUAUUUUGAACCGCAUGGUUCAAAAGUGAAAGACGGUCUUGCUGUCACUUAUAGAUGGAUCCGCGCUGCAUUAGCUAGUUGGUAAGGUAACGGCUUACCAAGGCAAUGAUGCAUAGCCGACCUGAGAGGGUGAUCGGCCACACUGGAACUGAGACACGGUCCAGACUCCUACGGGAGGCAGCAGUAGGGAAUCUUCCGCAAUGGGCGAAAGCCUGACGGAGCAACGCCGCGUGAGUGAUGAAGGUCUUCGGAUCGUAAAACUCUGUUAUUAGGGAAGAACAUAUGUGUAAGUAACUGUGCACAUCUUGACGGUACCUAAUCAGAAAGCCACGGCUAACUACGUG
rnacentral:rRNA from 1 species